rnacentral:rRNA from 1 species
UACAGAGGGGGCUAGCGUUGUUCGGAAUUACUGGGCGUAAAGGGCGCGUAGGUGGCCUGUUAAGUCGAACGUGAAAUCCCCGGGCUCAACCCGGGAACUGCGUCCGAGACUGGCAGGCUCGAAUCCGGGAGAGGGAUGUGGAAUUCCAGGCGUAGCGGUGAAAUGCGUAGAUAUCUGGAGGAACACCGGUGGCGAAGGCGGCAUCCUGGACCGGUAUUGACGCUGAGGCGCGAAAGCCAGGGGAGCAAACGGG